rnacentral:tRNA from 1 species
GCCCUGGUUGCUCACUGGUUAAGCACUUGGCUGAAAAUCAAAAGGUUGAUGGUUCAAACUUACCCAGGGGCU